UCCGGUGUCCUCUCUGCUCGCGAUGGCCGUUUGAAGUGUCUCCAUCUGCUCUUAACGGCGUCCCGCACGGAGAUCAAUGGUGUUGUCUAUGACACCGGACCGCAGUACGGAUUGUACGAGUGUCAGCUCUCGUCUCACACCAAGCACCUCUCCAUGGAAAAUCCACUUUCAUGACACUCGAUUCAAAACCACAGCUUCAACUACCAGCAACAUGGGAAGUGAUUGACCCAUACUUGAUUCUGCCCAACAAAUACCGCAAAAGUGUUAAGAAGACCCUAAAAGAAAAACACAUUAGCAAAUCACAACUGUGCAAUGUGAUAAAGGAAACUGUUGAGUGCAUAAAAACUGUUUCCAUGGAUGUGGUCCUUCCAGUUUUUUCCAUCUGCAUGGAAGAGGAAAAAAGUCUGUUUGAGAAAGCUCAGGUACUUCAAAAGAGAGCUGAAGAGUGGAAGUUCAACAGUGACAUCAAUCUUAACAUUGAUCCUA